rnacentral:rRNA from 1 species
AGCAGCCGCGGUAAUUCCAGCUCCAAUAGCGUAUAUUAAAGUUGUUGCAGUUAAAAAGCUCGUAGUUGAAUUUCGGGGUCAGCAGGUUGGUCGUGCCAAUGGUAUGCACUGGCCUUGCUGAUUCCUCCCUCUUGAUGAGCCGUAAUGCCAUUAAUUUGGUGUUGCGGGGAAUCAGGACUGUUACUUUGAAAAAUUAGAGUGUUUAAAGCAGGCAAGCGCUUGAAUACAUUAGCAUGGAAUAAUGAAAUAGGACGUUUGAUCCUAUUUUGUUGGUUUCUAGGAUUGACGUAAUGAUUAAUAGGGAUAGUUGGGGGCAUUAGUAUUCAAUUGUCAGAGGUGAAAUUCUUGGAUUUAUUGAAGACUAACUACUGCGAAAGCAUUUGCCAAGGAUGUUUUCAUUAAUCAAGAACGAAAGUUAGGGGAUCGAAGACGAUCAGAUACCGUCGUAGUCUUAACCAUAAACUAUGCCGACUAGGGAUCGGAUGAUGUUAAUUUUAAUGAUCAUUC